UGAACGUCAUUCCUCAAGAAAAUUCAUCAAGAUUUUUUCUAUUUAAUAUAUGCAAGUACGUACACAAAUAAUAUAUUCACGAGCGUUAAGAAAACGUUAUGUGAAUUUUAAAAUACAAGUUCAUUGUUCCAAGAUGUUUUUCACACAUAUUAUAACAAUAUUGUCUUAAGGAAAAGUGGUUUAGUCUCAAUAUCUGUUUUAGAAAAAUUAUUUUCAAAAAAUGUUGUUUAAUAAAAAUAUACCUAUUUGAAUAAAAAUAAAUUCUGAAAACUAGACUUUUCGUCAAGCAGAGCCAAUGGACAGAAAUUAAAAUUUUUUUACGACAGAGGAAACUAAUUGACAUUUUUAAUCGAGCAAUAAAGUUCAAUGUGAGAGCAAUUAUUAGCGAAACAAUAAAAAUAAUAAGGGACGCGUAAUAAAAAGUCGGAAAGGUCAAUGGUGCAAAUAAGGUGACUGAGGAUUUUCAGGCCAGUGAGCGCACCGGUAUCAUGGGCAACAGACUGUUGCCAGUUUGAAUUGAAAGAUAAAAGAAUAGGACUCGGUGAAUAAAGGAGAGAAAGCUAUAAAACAAAAUAAGUAAGAAUACCUAUACAACGGAUAUACAAAUAAAAAAAAUAAAAAUUAUAUGAAGAAACUAGUUUUCCAUGAAGAAACUUACAAAACAGAUGUAAAAGAAAAAUAGACAGAAAGAUGUGGAAUUUUUUAAAUUGAUGAAUGGAAAUUGACGUCGUUUAUUCUUUAUACACAUAUAUAGUUUCCAAGUGAAGUCUUCCUAUCGUCCCACGUAUACCAUACAUCUAUUUGAACUUACAUAAAGACAAGGACACUUCUUCCUGAACAAAAAUACGACAAUAAUAACAAUAUUCUUUUUUUUUUCUUUGUGUCAACUUUUAUAAUAACACCUGGCAUUAUUCAAUAAUGACUAAAAAGAAAACUUUGUAACAAGAAGCAACAUAUACCGAAUAUCUGUUGAAACACCUUUUAAAUAUUUUGACACAUUUUUUUUCCUCUCAUUCUUCAAUAAUUGCAACAUCCUUGGAAUACAUUUACGAUCAAAAUUUAUUUUUAAACUCAAUCGAAAAGAACAACAGCGGAUAGCAGCUCUUGAAAGGGACCCUAUACCCUGACCUUCCGGUUUGGGAUCGGUUUUGAGUGCAACGAACACACAUGGUGACUAUAUGUUCGGGGAGGUUUUUUUUUUUUUUGUCUUCAAAAACAGAUGAACUCCCACGCAUUACAUUCAUUAUACACGAGAUCUCAAACAAGGAGUUUUCUUCACACCAUAUGCGAGAAGUAUAUAUAAAUAAUAUUGAAGAUCAAGUGAAAAAAAUAAUUUCUUAUUUUUUCCUUAUAAUAAAAUUAGGCUUUUAUUACCAGUUCUGAAACAAAAAUACAAAAUUUUUUCAAUAAUAUAAUUUCUUUUUAUAGUAAAAUUAAAUGGAUUUUUAAUUGUUAAUGAGAAUUGUUUUCUGGUAUUUUUUUUUCUUUCCAUGAUGAGUGAAAAAUGAAUAAUAUUCGCUCAUCCGAUCAGAAGCCCUAGAUGUGAUGCGAGAGCCCACACAAAUACUGUUACGCUUCUACGUUUGUUUUCGAUUGGAUUCAGUUUCUACAGAGCAAGAUCUUUCGCUGAGAAAACUAACGGUAUAUAUACUAUAUUGUAGUCUACUUAAAAAGAUAGAUACCAAUCUCAAAUAUAAGAAAAAAAAAAGAGUUGACCGAACAUAAGUUUGGCUGUUCCAAAUAAAAAUAUAUCUUGACAAUAGAGUAUUGUUGGCACCGAAAAACUGUUUUGAACUUUUGACACAUUUCACGAACAAUGGAAAUAAAUUUCAAAAUUUCUUUUCUUUUACUUAAAGUCAAAAAAUUAAUUAUUCAAAAAAAAAAAUUAAAAAAUAACAUUUUAAUUCAAAUUUUAUAAAAUUAUCAAAAAAGAAUUUAUAGAUAAGACAUUUUUUUUUAAUGUCAUAUAAAAAUUUGCUCUAUUCUUUCAACAUACUUAACUUCUGCUACUGGGUUUAUUUAAAUAUUACAAUACGUCUAUAGUACUUUGAAAGGUUUCAGGUUCUUCCUCCCUAUCUGUUUAUAAAGAUAAGUCUUCUAGGUCGAUAAUGGCUUCUAGUAAUUUAAAAUUCUAUAUACUUGCAACUCUCAAGUGCAAUGAACCUCUUUUUUUUCCUCGAGAAAAUAUUCCACUUUUUUUUUUUUUACAAAUUACAGGUAAAUUGAGACAUUAAUAAUUAUGCUUUAUAUUAAAAGAGACUAAAAUACAAAAGGAAAUUGUAAAUAUUACGAGAUAAUACAAAAAAAAAAAGUUUACAAUUUAAUGACCAUUGUCAGUCAAACAAAACAUUGUCUUUUAGCAGCAAACGCUAAUUGAUGUGCGAUAAAGUAAUUUCAUCUUUUGAUAGCAUUUUAAACAAUGAUAUUUACAGUUACAACAAUAAACAAACGUAAAUAUCAUGCGAAAAAGAGAUUUCUAUCUUACUUUUCAAAUAAUUUAUUUUUUCCGAUUAUUAAAAAAAAAAUAAUUAUUAUAAAUUAAAUAUUAAUAUAAUAAAUUAAUUACUAAAAUUUAAUAAAUAAAAAAACAUUUCUGAAAUUAAGAGUUGAAAGUAUGAAUUUCAUUAACUGAUAAACUAGUUAAAACAUAUAGAUUGGAGCAAGAGGUUUAUAAGUUAAUAAGUUGUGCUCUUCAAGUCAAUAAAUUGCCAUUUAACCAAAGUGAUCCAUACAAUCCGCCGUGGUGACGCCAUAGAUCGUUAUAGAUAUUCAUAAAAUGUAAACAAGUGACAAAAUUAUGUGAUUUUUUUUUCAUUUAUUUUUGCAAAUCUCGCAAUUCAAUUAAAAUUGAUUAAAAAAAAAAUUAAUAUCACAAUUUAUCGCGAAAGAGAUUUCAAUUAAAACUGAUUUAUUCGAAAAUACAAACGUCUUUUGUAUUAAAAAAAAGGCAUAUCUUUACUAUAUUCGUCCCAAAGAACUUCUUAUAAUGAUAAUAUAAUCGUUAUUAAGAUAUUUUUACCCCGCAACUAUACGCGAACUUAAUAUUUCCGUUUUUCUUAUAUAUUUAUUUAUUUAUUCCUUCAUUAUUAUUUUAUAUAAUAAAAGUUUAACUGUACAUUCAAUCCAAUAAGUUUAUGUUCAAUUUCGUAAGUGAAGCUUGUAAAUCACUAAAUGCUCUGGUUGGAGAAAUAAUUACAAAAAUUUUUUUCUUUCGUUGAAUGGUUUUUCUCGUCACGAAUGGCCUUCGACUACUUGUACAGUAAAUAUAUAUAUAUACAAGAUCUACUUAAUACGGCAAUAAGUCAGGUUUUACUCAGUACGGUAUUCCUUGAAACAAGUGAUUCAAGUAAACCACUUUAGAAUUAAACAGCAAUUUAUAUAUUUACAUAAAUAGCUCGAAAGUAAUUAAAAUAUUCGUCGCGAUAAACUCGCAAAAAAAGUCAUUAAAAAUAUGUCAUUGAAAAUCCAGUAGCAAAGAGUUAAUGAAUGAAGCAAUCCUUAAAUGCCAUUAAAGAAGAUGUCUACUUAAAAAAAAAUAUCUGUUUGCUAAAAAUAUUUAAAAAUUUUCUUUCAAAAUAUUUUAUUAAAUAUUUUUAAUAGAAUACAAUAAUUAUCUCAAAUUUUGUAAUUUAUAAAAUAAACAUUAUUGAAACAAAAUAAAUUAUAAUUAAAAAAAAAAACAGUGGAAUAAACAAUGUUUGUUAAAAUAUGCCAGAAUUCUGUUCUUUUAUUUAUAAGUUUAACAGUUCCUCAACUUCUUAUUUCUUUUUAUUUCCUAUCACACCUGUUUUUAAUGAAUCUAUUAUUAAUCCUCACGAAAGCCUGAAAAACUGCGACUAUCGACUCGACAAACAUAUUCCUCAACCAAAUACAGACACUAUACCUGUUGAAUACAUCUCAACGUUUCGUAG